rnacentral:rRNA from 1 species
AUGUACCUACAGGUUGCAUUCGUAUUCGACUGGUUUUGGGGUGGAUCUAUUGGUCCGCGUGUUCCAGAACAUGGAUGGUCGCACCGUCCCUUCUCCAUUGGAUGCAGAUCACCAGGCACCAGCACCAGCAGACGAUUGACGAUGGAGGCUGCCCGCCGGCAUUGGCGUAAUUCCAGCACAUCUUGGUCCUUGGCAGCAUACCAACAGGCGCGGCGGCGAGGGGAGGACUGCAGGGGGAGGAGCACCUACCCAAGAACAGCAGGAACGAAACGGCAGAAUCGACGGCCAACGACAUCGAUACAUCGGUGGCGAACCGUGACCUAA